GAGGAGAUAUUUUAAUAAAGAAAACAAAGUUUGCAACUUUGAAGUAGAACUAACCUUCUCCUUA
rnacentral:tRNA from 1 species